AACCCAUGCAUAAGACACUGCCACAAGAAAUCCUUGAAUAUUUCUCAUGCUUCAUAGGAGGUUUCAUCCACUAUUUGCUUAAAUGAAGUUAGAUCAUUUUGGAGGUU